rnacentral:rRNA from 1 species
UACGUAGGGGGCAAGCGUUGUUCGGAUUCAUUGGGCGUAAAGGGUGCGUAGGUGGCGCUGUAAGUCGGGUGUGAAAUUUCGGAGCUUAACUCCGAAACUGCAUUCGAUACUGCGGUGCUUGAGGACUAGAGAGGAGACUGGAAUUCCUGGUGUAGCGGUGGAAUGCGCAGAUAUCAGGAAGAACACCCGUGGCGAAAGCGGCUCUCUGGAACGGUACUGACGCUGAGACGCGAAAGCGUGGGGAGCGAACAGG